UUAUUAUUUGCUAAGGCUAUAUUAAAUUACGUUCAUAAUAAUAAACUAGCACUUGGCCUUGCUCCAUUGUCGCCUCAAUUGUGGAAGGCAGCAUUGGCAUGAAUAUCCUUCCUCUCCUACCCCAAGUUGUUCUUCAAACUUUGGAUGGAGAAACAUUAGUUACAAGCAACAAGGAAUGACCAAAUCCAUAUUAUUGACUCAAAAAGGGCACAAUGUAUUUCUCAGAACUUUAAAGGAAAUCACAAGCCCAAUGGGGAGAGGAGGUUCUACAAUUUACUUGCAGGUCAUAUAACAAAUGAGGGAGAGAGAAGUUGGGGCGAAGGCCAUAGAGAAGCAGGAAGCUAGGAAUCACAAGAGGGUGAAUGGUCAGACCAAAACCAGGUGGGGAGACCUCCAUACCAAGGUUGUGCGCAUUAGAAAUGCCUAUACACUGAGAAACAUGCAUCCCCAUUCAGACAACAGACAGCUUCGAUCACCCUAAGCGAUUGAACUUUCAUGCCACAAGCAUUUAAAUUUAAAAAAUAAAAAUAAAAAUAAAAAACCUAUCUGGUUAAGACAUUACAUUACGGAUGCACUAAUAAUUCUGUUAAGAUGAAACCAGAUUCUUCUUGACCAGCUCCAUGAAAGGAUUGUUGAUAGAGCGGAAGCCUAUUAAAUCACAAAACAUAUCCUUCUCUUAUUUGCUGGACAACAAAGCUCUUUCAAGGCACAAAAAUUACAGUCAUAAUCCUAAACCAGAUUGCCGUUUUGAUGGGCAAUAGGGGUUUGGGUUUUACCAACAAUUGCCAACACCAAAGAGUCUAGGGAGCACGGUUUGGCAUGGACCGGCCUCGGCCCCUCCCAACAUAGCCAUAACCCCUUCCGUAAUACGGACCUCGAGAUCGCCCUCCACGAUUAGGUCCACGCCCCCCUCGACCACCCCGAUGCCUUGAGAAUUCACCAAAAG